rnacentral:rRNA from 1 species
CACGUAGGGUGCGAGCGUUGUCCGGAAUUAUUGGGCGUAAAGAGCUCGUAGGCGGUGUGUCGCGUCGGCCGUGAAAACCUGCAGCUUAACUGUGGGCGUGCGGUCGAAUACGGGCAUCACUGGAGUUCGGCAGGGGAGACUGGAAUUCCUGGUGUAGCGGUGAAAUGCGCAGAUAUCAGGAGGAACACCGGUGGCGAAGGCGGGUCUCUGGGCCGAUACUGACGUGAGGAGCGAAAGCGUGGGGGAGCGAAACAGG